rnacentral:tRNA from 1 species
CCUCCGAUAGCUCAGCUGGUAGAGCGCAAGACUGUAAUGGGGAAACCAAGUCAUCUUGAGGCCGCUAGUUCGACCCUGGCUCGGAGGA